UUUUUUUGUUUUCUGGUUGCCUGGGAGGGGAGGGAGGGGACAACGGCUCCGAACUACGAACUCUGCCAUUGGCGAUCUCUGAAAACUGAUAAUCCAACCAAGCUUGUGAACUCUGUUAGAUCUACUACUGCCUUCAAUCUUUGAAAACUGAGAGAGUUGCCUACCUUGUUGGAAGAACGAUCUGGCCUUAUUCUUCAAAUCCAUCGUAGUACUUGGAGAAUCUGAAGCAAAAUCCUCAUUGGUUGCAGAUAUAAGAAGGAUACUUUAAAAGGCUUUAGGUCAUUGAUGGCAUUCAGGUUCUUUGACAAUAUGGGUUGUUGUGAGAUCAUUUGUCCCUCAGUUCAUAGAGAAAACAUUUUGUUAGCAUUAUCAAACUUAAGUCAUCAAAGCAGUAGGUAAGUUUUAUCAUACGAUGUCAUAAUUGGAGAUGCCAUUCUACAAAAUUCUUCAUUCUUGCAUCAUCUUUCCUUCAUCAACAGCCCAGUUGGCACUGGAUGGUAGAAACAUUUCUUGAAUGGUUUGUAGUCUAGAAGGACAAAUUUGUCUUAUUAACCUAUAUUGUUCAAAUGUUGAAGUUCAUUUGGUUUACUGAAUCUGUCAUAUUUGGACUACAUGUCAUCCAAGGCAUGCCUAACUGGGUUAUCCUGAAUUCCUGAUCAAUUACAUGUUGCUUCG